UGGGGAAUAUUGGACAAUGGGCGAAAGCCUGAUCCAGCCAUGCCGCGUGUGUGAAGAAGGCCUUUUGGUUGUAAAGCACUUUAAGCGAGGAGGCGUUACUCGCAGAAUAAGCACCGGCUAACUCUGUGCCAGCAGCCGCGGUAAUACAGAGGGUGCGAGCGUUAAUCGGAUUUACUGGGCGUAAAGCGUGCGUAGGCGGCUUUUAAGUCGGAUGUGAAAUCCCUGAGCUUAACUUAGGAAUUGCAUUCGAUACUGGGAAGCUAGAGUAUGGGAGAGGAUGGUAGAAUUCCAGGUGUAGCGGUGAAAUGCGUAGAGAUCUGGAGGAAUACCGAUGGCGAAGGCAGCCAUCUGGCCUAAUACUGACGCUGAGGUACGAAAGCAUGGGGAGCAAAC
rnacentral:rRNA from 1 species